rnacentral:rRNA from 1 species
GCAUACCUACGGGACGCAGCAGUGGGGGAUAUUGCUCAAUGGGGGGAACCCUGAUGCAGCGACGCCGCGUGGGUGGAGAAGCGCCUCGGCGCGUAAAGCCCUGUCAGCAGGGAAGAAAAUGACGGUACCUGAAGAAGAAGCCCCGGCUAACUACGUGCCAGCAGCCGCGGUAAUACGUAGGGGGCAAGCGUUAUCCGGAUUUACUGGGUGUAAAGGGGGCGCAGACGGCGAUGCAAGCCAGGAGUGAAAGCCCGGGGCCCAACCCCGGGACUGCUCUUGGCACUGCGGGGCUGGAGUGCAGGAGG